rnacentral:lncRNA from 1 species
AGCAGGGCCUGCUGACAUCCUGGGUCUCCUGCCAGCUGCACGCUCAGAGGUCCAGAGCCAGCAUCAUGAAGUGGUUGCAUCUCCAGCUGCUGCUGCUCCUCGGCGGGGUGGUCCUCCCAGUGUCGGGGAAAUUGAAAGACAGUUCAUUUUGAAAUUGAAUUUCUGGAUUACCGUAGGUAUUUUGGCUGGGUUUCAAAAUGAAGAGUGGAUGGAAAAUUAAAGGACUUUCCCCAGUCCGGUUGCAGAGAGGAGCCAGGGGUGACUAUAUAGAGAAACACGGGUUCUUUUUUUUAAGCCAGGAUACCCAAGGGAAAUAAAAUGAUCCAAUCUCAACCUUGAGGGUCUCCUGACACUACAAGUAAUUUGGUGUCUCUGUGUGUGUGUUGGGGGGGGGACUGUGGAGGCCACAUUGAGUUUUUGAGGAGGACACUUAUAAGAGGUCCAGAGGAUUCAGAGCUUGCAAGAGGGGGUACCAGGAGUGUAAGUCCCUGGUUGAGUGUUCCAAAGAUGAACACCAAAUUGGGAAAUGGCUACUUAUUAUUUCUUAACACAUGGCCCUUUUUUAAGGAAUUGAGUAUUUCAGAGCACCGAAAUACGAAGGAGAAAUAAAAUGCAUGCCUGACGGAAGCCCUGGGGUUAAAACAAAAUGAAAUGUGCAGAAUUUGGGGAGGGUGGGGGUAGAUACUGCAGCGUGGUGGGAGGAAGGAGUUCAGCUUAAAGGGCCCUUUCAGCGGCAGCGGAGGUGGAAGCCCCUUCCUCUACUGCUCUGGGACUCCACUUUUCCCACACCCCCACAGAAGGAGGAUGGGGGGACUAGUCGACCUCUCGGGGCUCUUUGGAGAAUUGGGCUUGGUUUCUGUGGGUUUAAAUUCCACGAGGUGACUUCAGAGUGGCUAGGGGAAUUGAGGAGAGUGUUGGGGAUUGGAUCUUUAUCCCAAGAAUCAAAAAGACCGCUUAUGUCCUUGGGUGGGAGAAGAGGGGGAGCCUACACAGGGGGUCCCUGAGCAUGAGAGGAGCUGAN